UGCGUAGGCGGCUUCGUAUGUCGGAUGUGAAAGCUCACGGCUCAACCGUGGAAUUGCAUCCGAAACUGCGAGGCUGGAGUAUCGGAGAGGUAAGCGGAAUUCUUGGUGUAGCGGUGAAAUGCGUAGAUAUCAAGAGGAACACCGGUGGCGAAGGCGGCUUACUGGACGAAUACUGACGCUGAGGCACGAAAGCUGGGGGAGCGAAGA
rnacentral:rRNA from 1 species